CAGGUGGGCGGGAUAGAAGCGACGAAAACGACUUUUCAACGCUAUCAAUUGUAUCGCAAAUGACAACAUUAUUUUGUAAAAUUGACUUACAGGUUAUAAGACCAAGUGGUUGUCAUAUCAAAUGGGAAGUGUCAGGAGGUUAAACGACAACAACAGGGUCACGGGUGAGCUAAGCUGACAGUUAGGCAAGAAACGGAGGAAACGUUGGACUGUGAGCCAGCCAAUCACAGGGCAAAUACAACAACCAUUACAACAACGCAACAACCAUUAGUUCUCACAUUCACACCGAUGGAUAAUUUAGUCUUCAAUGAAGCUAACAUGGAUGUUUGUGGGAGGAAGAAGGAGUACCGACAGAAAACCAGGCCACGGGGUGCAAACUCCACACAGGUUCUUGGAGACCCAGCAGUCUGGCGGGAAGUCCUGCAGCAUGGGCACUAGGAACUGCAGGCAGCCGUCCCAGUGGCACAGAAGCAACAUCAUCCCGAUCAGAUUGACGAUCCUCACCAUGGCGCUGGCCAGGUCGUACGUCAUGUGGAAGAUCUGAGCAGUAGCGUGUGAUGUUUGACUUCACAAAUAACUGCUCCGCCAGAGGCCCACGCUCGCCUCUCCACAGCCGCCCUCAUCGUUCCGACGCUGGUCACAUUGGCACCGGAUCCCGCAAUUCAGAGUCGGUGGUGGUGAUGAUGAUGCUGAUGGCUGUCACUCCCGCUCACAGAAUGGGAUCCAUUUCCCCACGCGUGACGGUGGGGAAUCGGGUGGACAUGAAGACGAGUGACA